UGCCGGGUCGUCUAGGGGUAGGACAUGGGCCUUUGGAGCCCAGUACGCAGGUUCGAAUCCUGCCCCGGCAG
rnacentral:tRNA from 1 species